rnacentral:lncRNA from 1 species
GUUGUUGCCAAAAGUUCAUAGAAAUGACAUAGUCUUAAGUAUGUUCAAAUAAUUGAAUCUUCAAUAUACACAUUUCUCCUGUAGGCAUCUGGCAGAAAGAGAAGCACUGAAAUUGUCAGAGGAUCUACUCACUACAUCACUGUGGUGACCUGCAGGGAAGCAAUGCACAUGGACUUCCCAACAACGUCAAGUAGCACGUGACUGCACAAGAUGGGGGAACGUCACCAUAGCCAGCUCUCCAGACCCUCCACAGCCCGCUUUGUGUGAGGCCCACCAACUGGAUGCACCAUGGAGCUAAUUACAUUAAUUGUUCAUGAUGCCGAGGAGAAAAUAUUGACAUGUCUACCUCA